CCUACGGGAGGCAGCAGUGGGGAAUAUUGCGCAAUGGGCGAAAGCCUGACGCAGCAACGCCGCGUGAAUGAAGAAGUCUUUCGGGUUGUAAAGUCCUAUCAGCAGGGAAGAGCAUGACGGUACCUGACUAGGAAGCACCGGCUAACUCCGUGCCAGCAGCCGCGGUAAUACGGGGGGGGCAAGCGUUGUCCGGAUUUACUGGGGGUAAAGGGAGCGUAGGCGGCGAGGCAAGUCUGAUGUGAAAGCCCGGGGCUCAACCCCGGUACUGCAUUGGAAACUGGCUUGCUAGAGUGCCGGAGGGGUAAACGGAAUUCCUAGUGUAGCGGUGAAAUGCGUAGAUAUCAGGAGGAACACCGGUGGCGAAGGCGGUUUACUGGACGGUAACUGACGGUGAGGAUCGAAAGCGUGGGGAGCAAACAGGAUUAGAUACCCCGGUAGUC
rnacentral:rRNA from 1 species